UGGGGAAUAUUGGACAAUGGACCGAGAGUCUGAUCCAGCAAUUCUGUGUGCACGAUGAAGUUUUUCGGAAUGUAAAGUGCUUUCAGUUGGGAAGAAAGAAAUGACGGUACCAACAGAAGAAGUGACGGCUAAAUACGUGCCAGCAGCCGCGGUAAUACGUAUGUCACGAGCGUUAUCCGGAUUUAUUGGGCGUAAAGCGCGUCUAGGUGGUUAUGUAAGUCUGAUGUGAAAAUGCAGGGCUCAACUCUGUAUUGCGUUGGAAACUGUAUAACUAGAGUACUGGAGAGGUAAGCGGAACUACAAGUGUAGAGGUGAAAUUCGUAGAUAUUUGUAGGAAUGCCGAUGGGGAAGCCAGCUUACUGGACAGAUACUGACGCUAAAGCGCGAAAGCGUGGGUAGCAAACAGGAUUAGAUACCCUGGUAGUCCACGCUGUAAACGAUGAUUACUAGGUGUUGGGGGUCAAACCUCAGCGCCCAAGCAAACGCGAUAAGUAAUCCGCCUGGGGAGUACGUACGCAAGUAUG
rnacentral:rRNA from 1 species